GCCCCUGUGGUGGAAUGGAAUACACAUUGGUCUUAAACACCAACGCCCUUGAGGAUUGCAGGUUCAACUCCUGUCGGGGGUA
rnacentral:tRNA from 1 species